rnacentral:rRNA from 1 species
GACGGAGGGUGCUAGCGUUAUUCGGAAUUACUGGGCGUAAAGGGCGCGUAGGCGGCCGAUUAAGUCGGGGGUGAAAGCCUGUGGCUCAACCACAGAAUUGCCUUCGAUACUGCUUGGCUUGAGACCGGAAGAGGUGAGUGGAACUGCGAGUGUAGAGGUGAAAUUCGUAGAUAUUCGCAAGAACACCAGUGGCGAAGGCGGCUCACUGGUCCGGAUCUGACGCUGAGGCGCGAAAGCGUGGGGAGCAAACAGG